rnacentral:rRNA from 1 species
UACGGGGGGAGCAAGCGUUGUUCGGAUUUACUGGGCGUAAAGGGCGCGUAGGCGGCCAGCACAAUUCAGUUGUGAAAUCUCCGAGCUUAACUCGGAAAGGUCAACUGAUACUGUGCGGCUAGAGUGCGGAAGGGGCAACUGGAAUUCUUGGUGUAGCGGUGAAAUGCGUAGAUAUCAAGAGGAACACCUGCGGCGAAGGCGGGUUGCUGGGCCGACACUGACGCUGAGGCGCGAAAGCCAGGGGAGCGAACGGG